rnacentral:rRNA from 1 species
UACGUAGGCAGCAAGCGUUGUUCGGAAUUACUGGGCGUAAAGAGUGUGUAGGCGGUGCUCUAAGUUCGGUGUGAAAUCUCCCGGCUUAACUGGGAGGGUGCGCCGGAAACUGGAGUGCUCGAGCGUGGGAGAGGAAAGCGGAAUUCCUGGUGUAGCGGUGAAAUGCGUAGAUAUCAGGAGGAACACCUGCGGUGUAGACGGCUUACUGGACGGUAACUGACGCUGAGGCACGAAAGCGUGGGUAGCAAACAGG